rnacentral:rRNA from 1 species
AGUGAACGCUGGCGGUAGGCCUAACACAUGCAAGUCGAACGGCAGCACAGUAAGAGCUUGCUCUUACGGGUGGCGAGUGGCGGACGGGUGAGGAAUACAUCGGAAUCUACUUUUUCGUGGGGGAUAACGUAGGGAAACUUACGCUAAUACCGCAUACGACCUACGGGUGAAAGCAGGGGAUCUUCGGACCUUGCGCGAUUGAAUGAGCCGAUGUCGGAUUAGCUAGUUGGCGGGGUAAAGGCCCACCAAGGCGACGAUCCGUAGCUGGUCUGAGAGGAUGAUCAGCCACACUGGAACUGAGACACGGUCCAGACUCCUACGGGAGGCAGCAGUGGGGAAUAUUGGACAAUGGGCGCAAGCCUGAUCCAGCCAUACCGCGUGGAUGAAGAAGGCCUUCGGGUUGUAAAGCCCUUUUGUUGGGAAAGAAAAGCAUCAGGUUAAUACCCCGCUGUUCUGACGGUACCCAAAGAAUAAGCACCGGCUAACUUCGUG